GCCUUGAAAUAAAACUUUCAGUAGCCAUUGUUAAUCUUCAAAAGAAACAAUAUAGUCCUUCAAGGUUCUCUAAGGAUCCUUCUGAUUUAAAUUGUAAUGCUAAAGUAUAAAAUAGUGUUUAAAGAUGAGAACAAAGCAACGCAUAUUUAGUUGUCAAUUCAUCAUUCCACAUUGAAAGACUUUUGGUAGUUAAACAUGGGAAGCUUUGUGGACAUGCCAUAGUUAGAGUUAAUAUUCAAUUUAACCCACUAAAUUUAAGGUCGGAUUUAAAUUGACCCUUAAAAUUACAAUUGAUUCAAUUGGGCCCCAAAAUUUAUAAAGUAACUCAUGCUAGUCCCUGAACUGAUUUCCGUAAACAGCGUGUUAAUUUUACACAUUAACUUGUCAAUAUUUGGAUUCUUCAUCUAGAUUUCAUAUGGCUAAGACGUAUUAGACUUCCUAGAAGCUUGAUUGACUCCCCAACAUUUUCAUAAAAAUAACAAUAAUAAGUUCAAUUUAAAAAUUUUACGGAUAUAGGAGCAAUAAUCAAGCUUUUGGAACUAAUAAAUCUUGAUCACAUGGAAGUUAGGCAAAGAAUCCAAAUCGCAACAAGUUAAUGUAUCAAAUCAACACAUUGUUAACGGAGACUAGCUCAAGAAUUAAUGUGAGUUACGAUUGUAAAUUUCGGAAUCCAAUUCUAUUAAAAUUUUAAGGGUCAAAUUGAAUCCGACUUCGCAUAUCAGAAGCCAAUAACUUGCCAUAGUUACAUAAUCAUAAUCACAUAUUAAAAUACAAACCCCCACUACUACCUCAUUCACAUAACAAAAGACAUACCAGACCCACCCGACAUCCAUCAAGAUUCCAGAGCAAUUAUAUGUAUUAUGUAACAAACCCAUAACUGGGGAGAUAAUCCAAAAAUGAAAAACUUAUAGUUGCAGAGCCUUACACCAAACCAAGAAACCAUAUACCAGCCACCCCACAUUUUCAGUAACCACUCGCCAAGCCCGAUGCGCUCUCUGUUCUCCUUUUGGCAUAGCCAUCAAGAGAACAAGGAGGACUAUACUUUGAGACCGCUAUACCAACCCCUGGAGUCUAUUGACAACC